rnacentral:ncRNA from 1 species
UGAAUUCCAACGAAGAGGAUAGUAAUUAAGGUAGCAGGUAAAAAGAGAGGAGAGGUCGUGGCUGAGAGCCCUCCAUAUCUGUCUUAAUGAAAGAACACCUCGGAGGAGUUUUUCUGAACGUAACGAACUAGUAGGAAAAGACGUAUACAGGCGUUAACUGUUUAAAGUGGAAGUAAGUUACUUCAAUUUAGGGUGGUACCACGGGUUUAAAGCUCGUCCCUGAU